ACAGGCUGAGUGCUGCGGCGCGAUCCUUGCUUCCCUGAGUGUUGGCCCGGGAGGAAAGAAGAUGGUGCUGGAUCUGGAUUUGUUUCGGGUGGAUAAAGGAGGGGACCCAGCCCUCAUCCGAGAGACGCAGGAGAAGCGCUUCAAGGACCCGGGACUAGUGGACCAGCUGGUGAAGGCAGACAGCGAGUGGCGACGAUGAUCAAAGGCUCCUCCUGAGACUGCAUCACUUCUGCAACACAGUAGAUUCAUUCCUUCGGUAUCGGAAACAUUUCGGGGCGUUGGAGGCCGCUCUUGGCCAAAAUAAAUGACCCUGAAGCUUUUCGGAAGGCCAUCCCCCGACCUAUGGGCAUACCUUUAAGAAUUAGGAAAGUCUUUUCCGUGGUAGAUCAAACGCGAGGGGAGUGAGGAGGCGAGCAAAAGAUUGUAAUGACUGAAGCUGUUUAAUUGUGAUUUGUGGACAUUUUCCUUUAAAGACAUUGGCAGAGUUGGGCUAGAACCUGGAACUGCCGGAUCUUGGAGUCAUAUCGGGCAUCUUUCAUGAAGCCGAAUAAAACCAUAGAACCAUCUGCCCAUAAAUCUCUGCCUGUAUUAACUGGAGUGGUCGCUGGUUGGGCGGAUGCUGUCAAGUACUUGUGAUUUGAUUUGUCUGAUGCAAUAGGUCUGCAACCAUCUGGGAGCUAGGUCGAUGACAGUACACUGCAAAGGCAGCCACUAUCCAAGAGUGUGAUGGAUUUCUAUUAGGAAAAUUGAUUUUCUCCUGUUUAUAAGGAUCUUGGAUGUCAAAAGAAUAUUUGUUUAACUUGA
rnacentral:sRNA from 1 species